UACGGAGGGUGCAAGCGUUAUCCGGAUUUAUUGGGUUUAAAGGGUCCGUAGGCGGACUGAUAAGUCAGUGGUGAAAUCCGACAGCUUAACUGUCGAACUGCCAUUGAUACUGUUAGUCUUGAGUAAGGUUGAAGUGGCUGGAAUAAGUAGUGUAGCGGUGAAAUGCAUAGAUAUUACUUAGAACACCAAUUGCGAAGGCAGGUCACUAAGUCUUAACUGACGCUGAUGGACGAAAGCGUGGGGAGCGAACAGGAUUAGAUACCCUGGUAGUCCACGCCGUAAACGAUGAUUACUCGUUUUUGGGUUUUAGGAUUCAGAGACUAAGCGAAAGUGAUAAGUAAUCCACCUGGGGAGUACGUUCGCAAGAAUG
rnacentral:rRNA from 1 species